rnacentral:rRNA from 1 species
AGUGAACGCUGGCGGUAGGCCUAACACAUGCAAGUCGAACGGCAGCACAGUAAGAGCUUGCUCUUACGGGUGGCGGGUGGCGGACGGGUGAGGAAUACAUCGGAAUCUACUUUUUCGGGGGGGAUAACGUAGGGAAACUUACGCUAAUACCGCAUACGACCUACGGGUGAAAGCAGUGGAUCUUCGGACCUUGCGCGAUUGAAUGAGCCGAUGUCGGAUUAGCUAGUUGGCGGGGUAAAGGCACACCAAGGCGACGAUCCGUAGCUGGUCUGAGAGGAUGAUCAGCCACACUGGAACUGAGACACGGUCCAGACUCCUACGGGAGGCAGCAGUGGGGAAUAUUGGACAAUGGGCGCAAGCCUGAUCCAGCCAUACCGCGUGGGUGAAGAAGGCCUUCGGGUUGUAAAGCCCUUUUGUUGGGAAAGAAAAGCAGCAGGUUAAUACCCCGCUGUUCUGACGGUACCCAAAGAAUAAGCACCGGCUAACUUCGUG